rnacentral:rRNA from 1 species
UCCUACGGGGGGCAGCAGUGGGGGAUAUUGCACAAUGGGGGAAACCCUGAUGCAGCGACGCCGCGUGGGUGAAGAAGCGCCUCGGCGCGUAAAGCCCUGUCAGCAGGGAAGAAAAUGACGGUACCUGAAGAAGAAGCCCCGGCUAACUACGUGCCAGCAGCCGCGGUAAUACGUAGGGGGCGAGCGUUAUCCGGAUUCACUGGGUGUAAAGGGAGCGUAGACGGCCAAGCAAGCCAGGGGUGAAAGCCCGGGGCCCAACCCCGGGACUGCCCUUGGAACUGCAUGGCUGGAGGGCGGGAGGGGCG